GCAUCGGUGGUUCAGUGGUAGAAUACUCGCCUGCCACGCGGGUGACCCGGGUUCGAUUCCCGGCCGACACA
rnacentral:tRNA from 1 species